GGUUGGUGCACAGGUUGGGGAAAGUGACGUUUAAAGUGAGGACAUAACCAGGUAACAAUGAAGGAGUGAGUGUUCCAGGCAGAGGUCCCGAUAUGAGCCUGGUCUGUCUGCAGAGAGAGAAAGACUUGCUAGACUGGAGCCAAGUGAGAAAAGCAGAGGCAGAGGACGGCAUGGGGGGAGCAGCCGGGAGACACAUGUGGAAAGAGGAGGCCAUGUACUUGCUCAAGAAUUUAACAAAGUAA
rnacentral:lncRNA from 1 species